rnacentral:rRNA from 1 species
AUUGAACGCUGGCGGCAGGCCUAACACAUGCAAGUCGAGCGGUAGAGAGGUGCUUGCAUCUCUUGAGAGCGGCGGACGGGUGAGUAAUGCCUAGGAAUCUGCCUGGUGGUGGGGGAUAACGUUUCCGGAAACGGACGCUAAUACCGCAUACGUCCUACGGGAGAAAGCGGGGGGAUCUUCGGACCUCGCGCCAUUAGAUGAGCCUAGGUCGGAUUAGCUAGUUGGUGAGGUAAUGGCUCACCAAGGCGACGAUCCGUAACUGGUCUGAGAGGAUGAUCAGUCACACUGGAACUGAGACACGGUCCAGACUCCUACGGGAGGCAGCAGUGGGGAAUAUUGGACAAUGGGCGAAAGCCUGAUCCAGCCAUGCCGCGUGUGUGAAGAAGGUCUUCGGAUUGUAAG